rnacentral:lncRNA from 1 species
GGGGUGCAAUUGUGCACGUUUUAUUUAAAUAUAAAUGACUAAGCAAAAAGUUGCAUUAAUUAAACAAAAAUUACAACACUUCAAUAAAUUGCAUAACGUGCACAUCAUGGGAAUUUAGACAAAAAAUAUACACAUCAGGGGAAUAUAUAAGUGUCAUCUCACGGGCUAAAAAUCGAUUCUUUAGGAGUUAUAUUUGGAUCGACUUAAUACAAUGUUGUUAUUUUCUUUUUUGUACUUGAACCCAAAUUUUACUUCUAAGACUAAUUUGCGAAAGAUCUAUACCUAUUUUAUUUCUCGAUCUUUCCUAGCCUUCUCUCGCUCCUCUCUAGCGAUGGCUAAACGGGCAUGCAUGUUUGAAUUUUCAACCAAUUGAAACAUUGUCUUUUCUAAAGCCGCCGUGGAUGAUUGGAAUUCCUCUUUUCUUUUAUUUUUGUUUAUUACAACCAAUAGGGCGAUUGUUAAUAAAAGGAGGGUUACUUGCUUGAACCUCAGGACUAUCAUUCUCUCCGGAUGGCACGGUCGAAUGAAGGGUCUCUAUUGGUGGAAUUGGCGGUACCGGAACAUAAAAUUGUUGCAAAUAUUUUGAACACGUUCCAAAUAUUUCUCAACAAUGAUCAUACUUAAACGCCUUGCCUUUGUUGUCCGCUUGAAAAAUUGUUCUCGCUUCAAGAUCCUAUAAACAAUUGAUUCAAUUACACAUAUGAGAAAUAACAUACAUCAAUAAAAGUAAUUAUAAAACUCAACAUAAUUAAAUAUUCAAAAUAGACUAAUCACGUCACUUAUAUUUGAACCGCUUGUCGGUGUCGCAUUUGCGCUUCUCAAUGAUCUGUUCCAAAGAUGGUAUUGGAUGUUGAUAGUUCUCCAGGAGAUUGCAAUCCCACAACCGUACACUCCUUUCCAAAUUGUGUUGUAAAAAAUAAUGUGCGAACUCGAUCCCAAAACUCGAUGACCGUUUGCUCGAUUCCUAUGCUCCCAUCCUCCGAAAUUUCUACCAUGCUUUGCAUAAACCUUGAUCUUGUUCAAAGCUCCAAUUUGGACCUCGAGCACUCAUAGACAUGAUUAGCGUU